GUACUGCGUUAGGCUAACCGAGACUUGUCAUUUGCACUUACAUAUUGUUGCUCUUUUGUUAGUUUUGACUGCUUUUAUUGUCCUCAUUUGUAAGUCACUUUGGAUAAAAGCGUCUGCUAAAUGACUAAAUGUAAUGUAAAUGUAAGAAAACGCGAACUCGCCCAACCUGAAGUCAGCAACCAGUCAACAGGAUGAGCAAAAUGGGGCGUGGCGCUUCAGCUCUGCAGAGCUGAGAAGAAUGAUUGACGUGAGGAUCUGCGUAAAAGGAGGCGGGGCCAGAAACGAUGUCAAUCAUGUUAUGUUGAUGUACUCUGCACACGCGAAGCCGCUGCUCCAGGUGAACGUGCUCUCCAGUGCUGAGGACAACGCAAGUAAAGUGGUCUGCCCGAGGUUGUGUGUGUCCAUGCAUGCUUGAGAAGGUUUGGGAUCAGGAUGGACGUGGAGGAGACCGGAGCAGGUCCGGUGGAGACAGCGGCCCCAGAGGAGGAGGCACCAGCUCCCAAACGCGGGAGAGGACGACCCCGCAAACCACAACAGGAGCCUGUUGAAGCUUCUGCUCCCAGGAGGCCGAGAGGAAGGCCAAGAGGCAGUAAAAAUAAAGGCCAGCGGGUCACAGCCAAAGUAGAGCCACCUAGAGAACGGAGACCACGAGGUAGACCAAGAAAAUGGCCCCAGAAGACCGUUCGUCAAGAAGAACAGCAGCCUCAUCCUGCGGUUCAAGGGGCGGAGUCAACAGAGGAUCCGCCCAUUCAGACUCCGCCUGCUGCGUUACCAUCGCAGGAGAGCAACUAAAACUACCUCAGUGAUGACUUUGUUACUACGUUGGGGGUAAUUCUCCAUCUCAGCUGCCUCCAUGUACACUGUAAAAAGUGAAAAUGUGCCAGUGCUCAAAUCACGCCCAAAAUUUCAGGAAAAAUCAGACUACAUUUUUCAAAAGUGACCCUAAAAUCUGUCAAUCCCAUCACAAGCCUUUAUGAUGAACACCUUUCGGCAAGUUACACUGCCAUUUUAAGAACUGGAAAUAAUAUCUUCUCUUUUUGUUUAUUAUUUGGAUUCUUAAAGGAAUAGUUCACUCGAAAAUGGAAAUUUGCUGAAAAUGCACUUACUCUCAGGCCAUCCAAGAUGUAGAUUCUUCAUCGGAACAGAUUUGGAGAAAUAUAGAAUUACAUCACUUGCUCACCAAUGGAUGCUCUGCAGUGAAUGGGUGCCGUCAGAAUGAGAAUCCAAACAGCUGAUAAAAACAUCGCAAGUAAUCCACACGACUCCAUCAAUUAACAUCUUGUGAAGUAAAAAAAUCUGUGUUUGUAAGAAACAAAUCCAUCAUUAAGAUGUUUUUAACUUCAGGCGUUGCUCCUGGCUCAAAUAAGAGUCAAUAAUCCAUAAUAAAGCCUGAGGGUGAGCACAUUUUCAGCAAAUUUUCACUUUUGGGUGAUCUAUUCCUGUAGUCAACUAGAAAUCAAAUUUGAACUUAAAACAUAUUUUAUUGUGCGUCAAUAUGGCAUCCAGAAACUGUAGUAUGUCUUAUUCUUAUAAAAACAGGACUCUAAAAUAACAACAAAAAAACAUGAACUUGUUUUGCUUAGGACAUUUAUUUAAUGUUCAAGAUCUUGGGAUUAAAAAUGAUUUUUUAAAAAUCCAAAGAUAAUAAAAUGUAGAAACUGUCAUCAUCACAGUGUAUGGAUGAUGCCUUGGUUAUAUACGUUUAUUUAAUCUUCUCAGGAUUCUGGAGACAUUGUAUUGCCAAAGCUUGAAAUUUACUCCUCAAUCAAAUGUUGCAACUUUUUAAACGGUUGAUCUUAUGUAAUGUUCUUUUUAUUCUUUUAUUUUAAUGUUUACAGUGGAAAGGAUAGAUUAAAUUGCAUCUAUUUACACCAAAGAAGAAUAAUGACCUGAUCAAAGAUGUAAAACCACAAUCAUUAUAAUUCACAUGAUGAUGGUGAAACUCAGUACCUCAACAUCAGAAACCUCAAAGAUUUUGUUUGCUCAUUCUAGAUAAUGGAUGAUUUGCCAUUUGUUUUUAAAUGCAUAUAUUGUCAAUGGCCAGUCUCUUGAACAAGGUAACUUUUUGGCACUAUAUUUUCAAAAUUAGCAUUUUUAAAAAUCAUCCAGUCUAAUUUGUAUUGCUAUGAAUUGUGUUAUUGCGCUGAUAUGGGAAUGAUGUUUACAACAUGACUGAUGUUUAAAGCAUCUCCUAUUGUCAACACAGUUGUGUUGUGUUAAAUAUUACAGCUCAUAUACAGAUGCACUUAAAAACAGGUAUAAUGAUUCUUUACAAAAUUUUGAUCAAGAACCUUUUUCUGAUCAGGAAGAUUUUGGUGUGAAGUCAAUUCAUUGUUCAUGAUAUAUGUCGUCAGUUUAGUCAUUUACUUGUUAAAACAUUUGACAAUGUGCCUCAUAAAUACAGGCUCAGGUAACUUACCUCUUUUUUUAUAUUCUUCAAAGGCCAGUAAUGCUGUUUAUGCAGCCG
ensembl:lncRNA high mobility group protein HMGI-C-like